GAAAUGCUUGGUUUGGUAAUGUAUAUAAUAUUUAAUAAAUUUCUUUGAUGACGUGGGAUCGGGGUGCAACAAAAAUGAUCAGAAAGUUGGCAAAUGAUUUAAGGAUUGCUAUAUUUGAGGUAUCCUACAAACUCUUUAGCAAAAUAAGACCAGCGACGUGUAAAAUGUUAUCAUUAGCUCACUUAUAGUAGAAUAGGACUGAAGGCAUGUUUAAAGAAUAGUCAACUGUCAUGAUCUAAUCAAUGUUUCUGUACUUUUAGUGUCUUAUUUAAGUAUUUGUUGUAAUAUUUGUGUAGUUGGCUGUGGGGAGUGCUUUGGAGACGCUGUGCAGACUGAUUAGUGAUGGGAAAAUACAUAUAGUUGGGGUUUACACAGUGUUUCACUCGCUCCACAUUAGGAUACUCUGCACGAUUAGUACUGGCAGUAAGAAAUCAUCAGGCCAUUCUUUUCACAAACAAUAAGGAAUUACAACGAGCCAUUGCUGACCUUGCUUGGCUUCUCGAAAUAACCAUGCUUCUUAACAGUGUUCAACCUAUAAUAUCAAGUGUUGCUAUUGGAGGUGGAUGGCAAGGUUUAGUGGUUUAUAUCUAAUUGGGAUCUUACUAUGUUUUUGGUAUUCCCCUAGGAUAUACUCUUGCUUAUAUGGCUAACUUGGGAGUCGUGGGUCUAUGGGGAGGAAAGAUCCACAACCUCACAAGUUGGUAGUAAGCAAAUUGGUUUAUUGCAGCGAUUCACGUCUUUUGGAAUUUCAAUUCUCAAAAUGAUGGCUUAUCAUUUCGUCUCUCCUUCAUGGAAUCAUAACCUUUCGAAAAAUUUCUGGGAAUAUGAGAUAUACAGAGCGAGGGUAUCACCUCUACUGCUGCCCAAGAAAGCUUGGCCAAUUUUUGAGUUGUAACAAACCAAGGAGGAGAAGGUCUUGCUUACUCUUAUUAAAAAUUUCUUUUUUAUCUUCUUUUUGGUUACUUAAAAAUACAAUUUUGAUGUAAUUUUUCAUUGCUAGACUUACAAUCUCCUGUUGGAACUACUAUUGGUCAAAAGAAUUUACAUUCGUGUGGUGCAACUUUGGCAACUUCACAACGGA